rnacentral:rRNA from 1 species
CACGGACCGCACGAACGUUGUUCGGAAUCACUGGGCGUAAAGGGAGCGUAGGCGGCGUGGUAAGUCAGAUGUGAAAUCCCGGGGCUCAACCCCGGAACUGCAUCCGAUACUGCCAUGCUAGAGGAUUGGAGAGGUAGCUGGAAUUCUUGGUGUAGCAGUGAAAUGCGUAGAGAUCAAGAGGAACACUCGUGGCGAAAGCGAGCUACUGGACAAUUCCUGACGCUGAGGCUCGAAGGCUAGGGUAGCGAAAGGG